rnacentral:lncRNA from 1 species
UCACAACAAGGUAAAAAAGGCCCGUAUAAUAGUUUAUUUCAAAAAAGUAAAAUAUUUAAAAUGAAAAAAAAAAUUAUUUAAAAAAUUUAUUUCCCAAAUUUUAUUUUUACAAAAUAUUUAUUAUGUCAAAGAAAAAUUUAAUUAAUUGGAUAAAUGUAUUAUAAAAAUUAAAUAAAAAAAUGUUGAUAACAUAAAAGCCCAAAAAUUAGUACAAAAAAAUUCACCUAAAUACA